AUAUUAAUAAGGGGAGGAAAAGAAAAUAACAAUGAUUCCCCUAGUAACGGCGAGUGAAGCGGGAAGAGCUCAAAUUGAAAAUCGGCUACCCAAGCGGGUUGUCGAAUUGUAGCCUAGAGACAUGUUGUCAGUGUGUGACCCAGGUAUAAGUCUUUUGAAACAAGGCAUCACAGAGGGUGGGAAUCCCGUCUUUGAUCUGGAGUUCGCCACGUACGACGCGUGUUCAUCGAGUCGAGUUGUUUGGGAUUGCAGCUCAAAAUGGGUGGUACAUUUCAUCUAAAGCUAAAUAUUGGCCAGAGACCGAUAGCGCACAAGUA
rnacentral:rRNA from 1 species